rnacentral:rRNA from 1 species
CGAGUGGCGACGGGUGAGUAAUAUAUCGGAACGUGCCCAUUAGUGGGGGAUAGCCCGGCGAAAGCCGGAUUAAUACCGCAUACGACCUGAGGGUGAAAGCGGGGGAUCGCAAGACCUCGCGCUAUUGGAGCGGCCGAUAUCAGAUUAGCUAGUUGGUGGGGUAAAAGCCUACCAAGGCAACGAUCUGUAGUUGGUCUGAGAGGACGACCAGCCACACUGGGACUGAGACACGGCCCAGACUCCUACGGGAGGCAGCAGUGGGGAAUUUUGGACAAUGGGCGCAAGCCUGAUCCAGCAAUGCCGCGUGCAGGAAGAAGGCCUUCGGGUUGUAAACUGCUUUUGUCAGGGAAGAAAUCCUUUGGGUUAAUACCUCGAAGGGAUGACGGUACCUGAAGAAUAAGCACCGGCUAACUACGUGCCAGCAGCCGCGGUAAUACGUAGGGUGCGAGCGUUAAUCGGAAUUACUGGGCGUAAAGCGUGCGCAGGCGGCUUUGCAAGACAGAGGUGAAAUCCCCGGGCUCAACCUGGGAACUGCCUUUGUGACUGCAAGGCUAGAGUACGGCAGAGGGGGAUGGAAUUCCGCGUGUAGCAGUGAAAUGCGUAGAUAUGCGGAGGAACACCGAUGGCGAAGGCAAUCCCCUGUGCCUGUACUGACGCUCAUGCACGAAAGCGUGGGGAGCAAACAGGAUUAGAUACCCUG